AUUGAACGCUGGCGGCAGGCCUAACACAUGCAAGUCGAGCGGAUGAAGGGAGCUUGCUCCUGGAUUCAGCGGCGGACGGGUGAGUAAUGCCUAGGAAUCUGCCUGGUAGUGGGGGAUAACGUCCGGAAACGGGCGCUAAUACCGCAUACGUCCUGAGGGAGAAAGUGGGGGAUCUUCGGACCUCACGCUAUCAGAUGAGCCUAGGUCGGAUUAGCUAGUUGGUGGGGUAAAGGCCUACCAAGGCGACGAUCCGUAACUGGUCUGCGAGGAUGAUCAGUCACCCUGGAAGGGGACCACGGCCAGGACUCCUGGGGGAGGAGCAAGUGGGGAAUGUGGGACAGAGGGGGAGAACUUUGCCCAGCGGGGGGGGGUGUGUGGAAAAGGUGUCGGGUUGGUAAAGAUGUUAUUCUGGGGGGAAAGGGCAUUAGUUUAUUACGUUGCGGUUUUGACGUUACCAAAUAAAGAAGCACCGGCUAACUUCGUG
rnacentral:rRNA from 1 species